AAAUAUCUUGUUCAGGAUCUCGUAAUCAACAAGCGUUACCUCAAAGUUUUUGUUGAUUUGAAGCUUAAGGGUUAACCACUUAUCAUUACAAGAAAACUUAUCCUUCUUGAUGGAUUUCAACUGCUCCACAAGACUUUCCAUAUAGUUAAGUUUAAUCAAAAACUCAUGUUCAAAAAAGCUAAACAAGAAAGGUGAAUUUUCGCAAAUCUCCCUCCGUAAAACCUCGUACGUCUUCGAAAUAGUAUUAGUAGUAAAAUCUGUGGACUAUGUUUCUGUGUCAAGGUACGACAGGGAAAACGAAAUGUAUGAGUGAACUUUAUUGUUGUUUCCAUGAUGAAAUGGGGUUACAAAUUACGAUCAAAUUAUACUCAAAUCAUUAUUUGUAAAAAAACUAAAGUGAUAUUAACGUGGUUAACUCUGUUCUGUUAAUUUUUUUGGUGAUGUGAAUCCAAAAAUUACUUUGAAAGUUUCUCGUACAAUUAAAAGUUUAAAGUUGAUGAUGAACGGAAACUAUAAACAAUCAUAACAAGAAAUUCUCCAAAUUAUUUCAGCAACAAAUUUAUAUUUUGUCAAGAUCAACAAUGAUCGAUAACGAUAAUAUGAUUUAAGAGUUUUUUCAUACCAAAACUCUUUAGAAUUAAAAAUCCUCCUUUCAUAGGCCUUUGAACUAAAAAAUAGAACUCUUCAACAAUAUUUUAGUCAAAAGCUAAUGAUACGUGAAAGAGUUCGAUACCUUUUAUAACACCAUCCAAGGAUAUAGAUCAAGUCU
rnacentral:sRNA from 1 species